rnacentral:rRNA from 1 species
UACGUAGGGGGCAAGCGUUGUCCGGAUUCAUUGGGCGUAAAGAGCGUGUAGGCGGCCAGGUAGGUCCGUUGUGAAAACUCGAGGCCCAACCUCGAGACGUCGAUGGAAACCAUCUGGCUAGAGUCCGGAAGAGGAGAGUGGAAUUCCUGGUGUAGCGGUGAAAUGCGCAGAUAUCAGGAAGAACACCUAUGGCGAAGGCAGCUCUCUGGGACGGUACUGACGCUGAGACGCGAAAGCGUGGGGAGCGAACAGG